rnacentral:rRNA from 1 species
GCGAACGCUGGCGGCAGGCUUAACACAUGCAAGUCGAGCGGCCGUAGCAAUACGGCAGCGGCAGACGGGAGAGUAACACGUGGGAACGUGCCCAUCAGUUCGGAACAACCCAGGGAAACUUGGGCUAAUACCGGAUACGCCCUUACGGGGAAAGAUUUAUCGCUGAUGGAGCGGCCCGCGUCUGAUUAGCUUGUUGGUGAGGUAACGGCUCACCAAGGCGACGAUCAGUAGCUGGUCUGAGAGGAUGAUCAGCCUCACUGGGACUGAGACACGGCCCAGACUCCUACGGGAGGCAGCAGUGGGGAAUAUUGGACAAUGGGCGCAAGCCUGAUCCAGCCAUGCCGCGUGGAUGAUGAAGGCCUUAGGGUUGUAAAGUCCUUUCGGCGGGGAAGAUAAUGACGGUACCCGCAGAAGAAGCCCCGGCUAACUUCGU